AACGAACGCUGGCGGCAUGCCUAACACAUGCAAGUCGAACGAAGCCUUCGGGCUUAGUGGCGCACGGGUGCGUAACGCGUGGGAAUCUGCCCCUUGCUUCGGAAUAACAGUUAGAAAUGACUGCUAAUACCGGAUGAAGUCUUCUGACCAAAGAUUUAUCGGCCAGGGAUGAGCCCGCGUAGGAUUAGGUAGUUGGUGGGGUAAAGGCCUACCAAGCCGACGAUCCUUAGCUGGUCUGAGAGAAUGAUCAGCCACACUGGGACUGAGACACGGCCCAGACUCCUACGGGAGGCAGCAGUGGGGAAUAUUGGACAAUGGACGCAGGUCUGAACCAGCAAUGCCGCGUGAGUGAUGAAGGCCUUAGGGUUGUAAAGCUCUUUUACCAGGGAUGAUAAUGACAGUACCUGGAGAAUAAGCUCCGGCUAACUCCGUG
rnacentral:rRNA from 1 species